UUUCUCCUAGGGGGGCAGCAGUGGGGAAUAUUGCACAAUGGGGGAAACCCUGAUGCAGCGACGCCGCGUGAGUGAAGAAGUAAUUCGUUAUGUAAAGCUCUAUCAGCAGGGAAGAAAAUGACGGUACCUGAGUAAGAAGCCCCGGCUAACUACGUGCCAGCAGCCGCGGUAAUACGGAGGGUGCGAGCGUUAAUCGGAAUUACUGGGCGUAAAGCGCUCGUAGGCGGUAUGUCAAGUCAAGGGUGAAAUCCCCGCGCUCAACGUGGGAACUGCCUUUGAAACUGGCAAACUGGAGUGUGUGAGAG
rnacentral:rRNA from 1 species